rnacentral:rRNA from 1 species
AGAGUUGUAUCCUGGCUCAGAUUGAACGCUGGCGGUAUGCCUUACACAUGCAAGUCGUACGAAAGUUUUUAACUUUAGUGGCGGACGGGUGAGUAACACGUAAGAAUUUACCUUUCGGAGGGGGACAACAAUUGGAAACGAUUGCUAAUACCCCAUAUGCUUUGGAGUUCUAUCUAUUUGGAAUGAAAUCUAAAAGUGAAAUGGACGAUUCAAUAUCUCCGCCUAAAGAGAAGCUUGCGGCUGAUUAGCUUGUUGGUGAGGUAAUGGCUUACCAAGGCGACGAUCAGUACCUGGUUUGAGAAGACGAUCAGACACACUGGAACUGAGACACGGUCCAGACUCCUACGGGAGGCAGCAGUGGGGAAUUUUCCGCAAUGGGCGAAAGCCUGACGGAGCAAUACCGCGUGAGGGAUGACGGCCUACGGGUUGUAAACCUCUUUUUUCAAGGAGGAAAAAUUUCAAAGAGAAAUCAUGACGUGUACUUGAAGAAUAAGCAUCGGCUAACUCCGUGCCAGCAGCCGCGGUAAGACGGAGGAUGCAAGUGUUAUCCGGAAUCACUGGGCGUAAAGCGUCUGUAGGUGGUUUCGUAAGUCAACUGUUAAAUCUUGGGGCUUAACCUCAAAACUGCAGUCGAAACUACGAGACUAGAGUAUAGUAGGGGUAAAGGGAAUUUCCAGUGGAGCGGUGAAAUGCGUAGAGAUUGGAAAGAACACCGAUGGC